GUAUAAGAGACAGCAGCCGCCACGGUAAUACGGAGGGUGCAAGCGUUACUCGGAAUCACUGGGCGUAAAGGACGCGUAGGCGGAUUAUCAAGUCUCUUGUGAAAUCUAACGGCUUAACCGUUAAACUGCUUGGGAAACUGAUAAUCUAGAGUAAGGGAGAGGCAGAUGGAAUUCUUGGUGUAGGGGUAAAAUCCGUAGAGAUCAAGAAGAAUACCCAUUGCGAAAGCGAUCUGCUGGAACUUAACUGACGCUAAUGCGUGAAAGCGUGGGGAGCAAACAGGAUUAGAGACCCGCGUAGUCCCUGUCUCUUAUAC
rnacentral:rRNA from 1 species